AUAUCAAUAAGCGGAGGAAAAGAAACCAACUGGGAUUGCCUCAGUAACGGCGAGUGAAGCGGCAGAAGCUCAAAUUUGAAAUCUGGCCCCUCUGGGGGUCCGAGUUGUAAUUUGCAGAGGACACUUCGGGUGCGGCCGCGGUCUAAGUCCCCUGGAACGGGGCGUCGGAGAGGGUGAGAAUCCCGUCUGGGACCGUGGACCUGCCCCGUGUGAAGUUCCUUCGACGAGUCGAGUUGUUUGGGAAUGCAGCUCUAAGUGGGUGGUAAAUUUCAUCUAAAGCUAAAUACUGGCGGGAGACCGAUAGCGCACAAGUAGAGUGAUCGAAAGGUUAAAAGCACCUUGAAAAGGGAGUUAAACAGCACGUGAAAUUGUUGAAAGGGAAGCGCUGGCAGCCAGACAGGAACCCGGGGGCUCAGCGGGCAUGCGUGCCCGUGCACUCCCCCGCGGUUCCGGCCAGCAUCAGUUUCGGCGGCCGGUCAAAGGCCCCGGGAAGGUAUCGUCCUCCGGGACGACUUACAGCCCGGGGUGCAAUGCGGCCAGUCGGGACUGAGGAACGCGCUCCGGCACGGAUGCUGGCGUAAUGGCUGUCAGCGGCCCGUCUUGAAACACGGACCC
rnacentral:rRNA from 1 species